UUAUAUAAAAUACAGGUUAAGGAAAGAGUGUCUGUACCUCUGGGUAUAGUGCUUAAAUUAUCCAAAAGUACAAAGGUUGGUUUAAAAGUAAUACAAUAUAAAUAGUACCUAAUCAGCAAUAACUCACAUAAGAUGAAUAAGUUUAAUGAUACAAUUUAGAUAUUAGCAUCCAGGUAUUCAGGUACAUCACCCAGGAAAAGUAAUACAGAGAGUUGGUUAUAGAAAGCAGAUAUAGGAAGGAGAGUGGAUUGUCCCUCAGUAACUAGGCAUUUAGGAUAGGUUGUCCCUUAGUAGAUAUAAUCCAUCAGAGAAGUAUUUCCAUUACUUUCUGAUUUAGUUUCUCAUCAGCACUCCAGCUCCUCUUUCCUAGUAUUGACAAUGUCCAGUGAUGUGUUCUACAGGGGCGUGGGAACUAGGGAUGCUAACCCCAUACCCAGGGUCCCUGUGCUGCUGGACCCACACCCAUGGCUCUGCCUCCAGCCCCACGUGGGGUCCCAGCUGUCACAGGAUCCCUGCCUGGAGCUCCACCCCCUUUUCCUGCAUGUAGGGUGCUGGCUGCUGCAGGACCCCCAACCAGGGCUCUGUCCCUGACCCCGCAUGCGGGGUCCUGGCUGCUGGCCCUGCACCUGGGGCUCUGUUUCUACCCCCAGCUGUGGUCCCAGCCUCAGCCCCCUUACCCUGUCCACCUCCUGCCCUCACCUCCCGGAGCCAUAGCCUAGUCUUGCCCCAGAUCUAGGGAAAGUGGGCAUGGAUGGGGUGCCAGGUAAAAAGUUUGGGGACAACUGGCUUUCAGCACCCUCACUGUAAAAAUUGUUUCAGCAACUCUGAUGUUCUAGGUAGAUGUCCCUUGACUAUCUGAUGGCAUCUGACACAAUGAGUUGCCACAUCAGCCGAGCAUAGUGUUGAUUGAUUCCGCAUUCUCGCAAUAUUUGAACAUUGCUGGGGUUCCACACACCCAGGGCUCCGACGAUCAGUGCGUGACUUUGAACCUCGUAGCCUCUAGCUCUCAAUGUGUCAGCCAGAGGGGCAUAUUUCUCCAACUUUCGAGAUCAGGUAUCACGGAAGGCUGGGGUCCUGUUUUCAAAGGGAACUUUGACACCUAUCAUGAUGAUCUUCUUCCAUUCCUUGUUGCUGAUGACGAUGUCCAGUCACAGUUGCCUGUCCGUUUCGGGGAUGGAGAAAUUCACAGCAACCUUCUCCAUGGGUGGCAGGAUGGCUCAGACCAGGCAAUCUUGGAUGGUGUUGUGGUGCAGCUGUCAGGCUCUGGAAUGGGGCUUGCAGCUACAGAAGACAUGGGGUAGCAUCUUGUUGGCAUAGCCGCACUUCCUGCAUCACUUAUCCCAAUUCCCAUGGUAGACGCAGUUGAGAUGAGUCCUGUGGAGGACCUUCCAGUCAGCAGAUUGGGUGAAGCUGCCCCCAGAGAGGAAGUGGUUGCUGGCAUCCCACUUGCAUGCCACCUCGAAGGCCUUGCCUGGGUCCAGCUUCCGUUUCAGGUUUUCCAUGUCCUGGGAAUGGAUGGCAUGCUUUGGGAUCCUCUCCAGCAUGGUUCUAGCUCUUGGAGUGAUGAUUGUGUGCUCCGUAUUCUUCACUGUGUCACCAGAACUCCCAGCUCCUGACAUUCCUCGCACUGUGUCCAGUGGCAGCCGAUAUGCUCCUCCAGUUGUCAUGUAACAUUGCAGGCAUGAGUCCAGAGAGAAGCAAAGUCUCUCCCAUCUCUUCCAAAUUCGCCUUCCAAUGUGCUGCUCAGUUUUUCUUGGAAAUUAUUGACUGGCCAUCUCACUGAGGGAGCGCCACUUCCUGCAGCUCCCAUUGACUGGGAAUGGCGAACUGCGACCACAAGGAGCUGAGGGGUUCCAUGCCUGCAGUAAAAAAAAAUGUCCCAACCUGCCAGCGGCUUACCCUCAUGUCCAGGAGCCAAAGUUUGC